rnacentral:lncRNA from 1 species
CCAUCUUUAAGAAUUGUAACACUCACCGCAAGGAUUGGAAUAAUACUUUUAAAAACUUUCUGCUUGAUUCAUUCCUGCUGGUACCCAUUUAUAACCUUGGGAUGAGCAUCAGCAAAUACUAUGAUAUCCAAGAGGUGAAUAUGUUGUGUUCCUGUUGAAAAGUAUUCCUAACUCCAUAAAUUACAGUACAGAAAUAGGAAGAAGGUUGUGAAAACUGUGCAUUCUAAAAGACAGCGUAGAUUGAAACACCCACUUUGGAUGCACCAAGGGAAAAGCAAAUCUGAGUGCUACAGGAGACAGUGAACAAGGGAAUCUCUCAUAGAGAGCAGGUGAGGAUUCUGCAGAAAAGAGAAUACGGAACACAGUGGCAACAGCGGUAGAUCCAUCAUGAGCUGGGAAAUACUGAAAAAAAUCUCUGAGAACUAGACCUAGUCAAUCAAAAUCCUGGUUAUAGGGGGAAAUAAAUAAAGAGGCUUGAAAAUGUGCAAAGCUAUAAAUGUUAAUCUUGAGAGAUAUUAAUUUGGAGGUUAGAGAGAAGCAACUUAGAAAAUAGAAGUGCCCUUUAGAAUUAGGGUAGCAAAGAGAAAUAAGGACAUGUCCAGCAUAAUUUAACUUCAUACAGAUAUUAGCAAGAAUCACAGAAUUGAGUCGCUUCAUUCCCUUAGAAAAAGUUCUAUUUGUUAAAGAAACUGCACUUCACUGUAUUAAUAGAAGAAGAUGAAUAUGUACUAAGAAGCUUACAAACUAAUCAAAAUAUUACCAUUCAUCCAUUAAAUCACUUGUUAUUGUUGGUUCAGAUAAUCAAUUUAAUAUGCCAUAAGAAGGAAACAGAAGAAUAUCAAAAUACUUCAAUUGAUGAAAAUUCCUGUCCCUCACCUGCCAAAGGAAACUAACCACAAAGCAGAGGGAAAUAGUAACUAAGUAUCAAUAUACGGGAAACUGGAGAACAAUUUGUCAGCAAAAAGGUAGAAUACGCAUAACUUCUCAUUACCAUCUCACAAAAGCUUCAAAAAUUAGCAGAAACUGUCUGAACCAAUUUUGUCAGGACUAUGGAAAACAAUCAAAAGUUUAUAGCAACCAAAUGAAUACUGAACCAAUAAAAAAGUCACUUCAAAACAGUGGAUAGUUUUGUGAUGAUUUUACACGCCCUUGCCCCUCUCCCUCCCUGGCACAGGAGUGGUCGUGGUCUUGAAGCAGGAGUAGUCUGCAGUCCCAGUUUUGGACCGUUUUCCCUGGCUCUGGAGGGUGCGGAGCAGAAUUUAUUCGCAAAUUAUUAUUAUUUUUUU